GUGAAUCAUCGAAUUUUUGAACGCAAAUUGCACUCUCUGGUAUUCCAGAGAGUAUGCCUGUUUGAGGGUCAGUUUAAAUAAAAAUCGGUGUGGUUGCUGCGUUGCGUGGUGACGCAACUGAUUUGGGUCGUCUUGCCUUCUGUUAAGUAACCUAAAUUUUUGCAUGAUUUUUUACGAAAGUAUUUAAAUGAUGUUACUUACGAUUGCGAUAUCGAAUACUAGGUUUUGUCAUCCUCAUGAUUCGC
rnacentral:misc_RNA from 1 species